rnacentral:rRNA from 1 species
UGGGGAAUUUUGGACAAUGGGGGAAACCCUGAUCCAGCCAUCCCGCGUGUGCGAUGAAGGCCUUCGGGUUGUAAAGCACUUUUGGCAGGAAAGAAACGUCAUGGGUUAAUACCCCGUGAAACUGACGGUACCUGCAGAAUAAGCACCGGCUAACUACGUGCCAGCAGCCGCGGUAAUACGUAGGGUGCAAGCGUUAAUCGGAAUUACUGGGCGUAAAGCGUGCGCAGGCGGUUCGGAAAGAAAGAUGUGAAAUCCCAGAGCUCAACUUUGGAACUGCAUUUUUAACUACCGGUCUAGAGUGUGUCAGAGGGAGGUGGAAUUCCGCGUGUAGCAGUGAAAUGCGUAGAUAUGCGGAGGAACACCGAUGGCGAAGGAAGCCUCCUGAGAUAACACUGACGCUCAUGCACGAAAGCGUGGGGAGCAAACAGG